AAGGGAGCGCAGGCGGUUUUGCAAGUUGAGAGUGGAAGCAGGGGGCUCAACCCCCUGACUGCUCCCAAAACUGUAAAACUUGAGUAUGGGAGAGGCAGGCGGAAUUCCUAGUGUAGCGGUGAAAUGCUUAGAUAUUAGGAAGAACACCGGUGGCGAAGGCGGCCUGCUGGACCAAAACUGACGCUGAGGCUCGAAAGCGUGGGUAGCAAACAGGAUUAGAUACCCUGGUAGUCCACGCUGUAANC
rnacentral:rRNA from 1 species